rnacentral:rRNA from 1 species
GACGAACGCUGGCGGCGUGCUUAACACAUGCAAGUCGAACGGAAAGGCCCUGCUUUUGUGGGGUGCUCGAGUGGCGAACGGGUGAGUAACACGUGAGUAACCUGCCCUUGACUUUGGGAUAACUUCAGGAAACUGGGGCUAAUACCGGAUAGGAGCUCCUGCUGCAUGGUGGGGGUUGGAAAGUUUCGGCGGUUGGGGAUGGACUCGCGGCUUAUCAGCUUGUUGGUGGGGUAGUGGCUUACCAAGGCUUUGACGGGUAGCCGGCCUGAGAGGGUGACCGGCCACAUUGGGACUGGGAUACGGCCCAGACUCCUACGGGAGGCAGCCGUGGGGGAUAUUGCACAAUGGGCGGAAGCCUGAUGCAGCAACACCGCGUGCGGGAUGACGGCCUUCGGGUUGUAAACCGCUUUCGCCUGUGACGAAGCGUGAGUGACGGUAAUGGGUAAAGAAGCACCGGCUAACUACGUG